rnacentral:rRNA from 1 species
CCUACGGGAGGCUGCAGUAGGGAAUCUUCGGCAAUGGACGAAAGUCUGACCGAGCAACGCCGCGUGAGUGAAGAAGGUUUUCGGAUCGUAAAACUCUGUUGGUAGAGAAGAACGUUGGUGAGAGUGGAAAGCUCAUCAAGUGACGGUAACUACCCAGAAAGGGACGGCUAACUACGGGCCAGCAGCCGCGGUAAUACGUAGGUCCCGAGCGUUGUCCGGAUUUAUUGGGCGGAAAGCGAGCGAAGGGGGGUGAUUAAGUCUGGUGUAAAAGGCAGUGGCUCAACCAUGGGAUGCAUGGGAAACGGGUAGAGGUGAGGGGAGGAGAGGAGAGUGGAAGUCGAUGUGUAGGGGUGAAAUGCGGAGAU